rnacentral:rRNA from 1 species
UACGUAGGGUCCGAGCGUUGUCCGGAAUUAUUGGGCGUAAAGGGCUCGUAGGCGGUCUGUUGCGUCGGGAGUGAAAACUUACAGCUUAACUGUGAGCGUGCUUUCGAUACGGGCAGACUUGAGGCAUUCAGGGGAGAACGGAAUUCCUGGUGUAGCGGUGAAAUGCGCAGAUAUCAGGAGGAACACCGGUGGCGAAGGCGGGUCUCUGGGCCGACAUUGACGCUGAGGAGCGAAAGCGUGGGGAGCGAACAGG